UGGGGGGUGGUGUAAUGGCAGCACAGCGGGUUUUGGUCCCGUCAGUAGGGGUUCGAGUCCCUUCCCCCCAGC
rnacentral:tRNA from 2 species